rnacentral:rRNA from 1 species
AUUGAACGCUGGCGGCAGGCCUAACACAUGCAAGUCGAGCGAGCGGCGGACGGGUGAGUAAUGUCUGGGAAACUGCCUGAUGGCGGGGGAUAACUACUGGAAACGGUAGCUACUACCGCAUACCAUCAGAUUUGCCCAGAUGGGAUUGGCUAGUAGGGGGGGUAAUGGCUCACCUAGGCGACGAUCCCUAGCUGGUCUGAGAGGAUGACCAGCCACUCUGGAACUGUGAAACGGUCCAGACUCUGAGGGGAGGCAGCAGUGGGGAAUAUUGGACAAUGGGGGCAAGCCUGCUGCAGCAAGGCCGCGUGGUUGAAGAAGGCCUUCGGGUGUUAAAGCACUUUCAGCGGGGAGGCGUUACCCGAAUAAGAAGCACCGGCUAACUCCGUGCCAGCAGCCGCGGUAAUUC